ACCUAAUUGAAGUCUGUUUAAGCUCAAUAGAAAAUAAGUAGUUAAUGCGACCAAGAAAGUAGUGCAGCAGAACUAUAUGUAUACUUUCAAACGUGGAUGACUUGAAGAAAAAGCUGAUGUUCAAAAAAACUUGAAAUGAUGAUAUUCAAUGUUAGCUUACAUCAAUGGAACAUAAUCUUAAACGUGUACGGAAAAAAAACAUCAGUAUUAUUACGCAUUAGGCCAAAGAAAAGUUUGUGUCCAUGUACCUAUGUACAAUAAAUUGAAUAUAAAUAAGGUGUAAUUUUGUAGCAGAGAUGCUGAAAAGUUCACAUAUAUAAGUCAACCGAAGGGAAAUGAAAGUAUUUAUUGUAUAUAUUUAGCAAUUUAUUGAAUAGCAUUUUAUGCCACCGCUGAUUUUUUUACGUCGAUAACUCAAGAGGAAACUAUGUGGCCUUAAAAAGGCGUUCUGUACUGUACUAUUUUCGCAAAAAAUGGUUCGCAAACUAUCAUAGCUUAGAAUCAAAGCGUUUGAAACAAAAAUAUUAUUAUAUAAAUAAUAAAAAACAAGAUUACAAUACAAGUCUUUCAAAAGUAUUCUGGAAUUAACGGAUGCAAUUUGGUAAAACUUGGUGUUGACUAAUAAGAAGUAGGGCACACCCGCCAUUGUUCGGACCAUCGACAGAAUAACGUUCGUGUUUUUGAGAUUUCUCCAUCCAAGACAUAGAUUUGCUGAUGAAUAACAUCGCAAAGAUCUUGGUGUAUUGUCUUCAUACUUGGCCACAACAACCCUUCAAAUAAUCCAGACUAAACUAAAUUAGCUUGACCACCAUAUUAACAUUCAAGAAGUUCGGCCUACAUGUCAGAUUUAUGAAUGUGAACAGCAGGAUAUCGAUUUUAAGGAUGCUUUAGGGUCAAUGACAAUGAAAUCACGAGAGAUAAAGGCUAAAAUGUGAGACUGUAAAUCUGACUAACCUUGAAGUGAACAAAUGGAAAAAAUGUUUCUUUCAAUAGCAUGGGCUUUUAAGGAAGAGGAAACAGAGGCGCUUAUAUGAUAGAACAGUAAAAGCAGGAGUGAUAAUGAAAGAUACAUGUAGAUGUGUCUUCAUGUCGGAAACACUAAAGAAAUAGAAAUAUUGUGGUUUUAUAAAACUUAAAUGAAAUUGGAAUACCAGGAGACUGCCUGCCCUUUGCAAUGUUGGAUAAAGAGUUCUUAGAUGUGAUGUCGAAAGCCUCAUGAAGCCCAUGACUUAAUCUAAUUAGAAAAAGAAAUGACAUUGAAGAGAAAACUAGUCACCAGUCUUUCACCAAGAACUAGAGAUAACUUUCCAAUAUUUGAAAUAUCAUAAUAUGAGCCGCGUCAUGACAAAACCAACAUAGCAUGUUUGCGACCAGCAUGGAUCCGAACCCGCCUGUGCCUCCGCGUAGUCUGAUCAGGAUCCAUGCUGUUCGCCAUCAGUUUUUCUACUUGUAAUAGAGUUUGUAAGCAAACAGCAUGGAUCCUGAUCAGACUGCGUGGAUGUGCAGGCUGGUCUAGAUCAAUGCUGGUCGCAAACCCAUUAUGUUGGUUUUGUCAUGGCGCGGCUCAUAUGUAUAGAACUUUAUUGAGCCACCAGUUUUCACCAGGAAAAUAAGAUCACUUAACUAUUUUUAGCUCACCUGUCACAAAGUGACAGGGUGAGCUUUUUUGAUCGCUUUUCGUCUGGCGUCCUUCCGUAAACUUUUACUUAAAAUGACAUCUCCUCAUAAACCACUAAGCCAAUUUCAUCCAAACUUCACAGGAAUGUUUCUUUGGUGGUCACCUCUAAAUAUUGUUCAUAGAACGCUGGUUGCCAUGGCAACCAAAAGAAAAAAACUUAAAGUAUCUUCUUUUAAAGAACCCAAAGAGCUAGAGCUUAGACAAAGUAUCUUCUUUUAAAGGUAUGAAACAUCUUCUAGUGAGUGUCUACCAAGUUUGUUCAAAUAAAAGCCCUGGGGGUCAAAAUUGGCCCCUCCCCAGGGGUCAUUGAAUUUCCCUAUAUGCAUAUAGUAAAAACUUAAAAAUCUUCUUUGAAAAAACCAAAAUAGCUAGAGUUUAGAUAUUAAGCAUGAAACAUCUUCUGGUAAGUGUGUACAAGGUUUGUUCAAAUAAAAGCCCUGGGGUCAAAACUGGCCCCGCCCCAGGGGUUUCAUUGUUUCUAACUAUUUGUGUAAAGUAAAAACUUAAAAAAUCUUCUUUUAAAAAACCCAAUGAACUAGAGCCUAGAUGUUUAGCAUGAAACAUCUUAUGGUGUCAACCAAGUUUGUUCAAAUUUAAGCCCUUGUAUAAAAAUUGGCCAUGCCGGGGUGGGGGGUGGUGCAGAGGUCUUUGUUUUACAUUAUAUGUGUGUAGUAAAAACUUAACAUCAUGAAACAUCUUCUAACGGGUGUCUUACAAGUUUGGUCAAAUAAAAGCCUGGGGUUUAAACUGGCCCCGCUCCAGGGGCCUAUAUAUACAUGGCCCUCUUGUUGAAAUAUGUAUGAACAAAUCUUUAUCAACUUCAAGCUUUUAUUGAAGGAAUUUGAAAUAACUUGGCACAAAUGAUUGUUAUAAUAAGACAAUGAGUCAUGUCAACAACCAGACCCCUACCUCCAGGGUCAAGGUCGCACUUGCUCAUUCAAGGUCAACAUUGUCUAUUUGAAAGUAUAUCUCGUGUCCGGUCUAUAACUUUCCUAUCUCUAAAGGGAUUUUGUAAAUACUUGCCACAAUUGCUCACAAUAAUGAGAAGAUGUGUCAUGCUCAACAACAGGUCACCUGCCUCCAAGGUCAAGGUCACACUUGGAGGUCAAAUAUUAGCACAGCCUGUUACAGGGUAUAUUUCGUGUCCGGUCCAUAACUUUGUCAUUUAUUGAAGGAAUUUGAAAUAACUUGGCACAAAUGUUUGUUAUAAUAAGACGAUGAUGUGCAACAACCAGACCCCUACCUUCAGGGUCAAGGUCACACUUGCUCAUUCAAGGUCAACAUUGUCCAUUUGAGGGUAUAUCUCGUGUCCAGUCUAUACCUUUCUUAUCUUUGAAGGGAUUUUGUACAUACUUGCCACAAUUGUUCACAACAAUGAGAUGAUGUGUCAUGCGCAACAAUCGGUCACCAACCUACAAGGUCAAGGUCACACUUGGAGGUCUAAGAUUAACAUAGCCUGUUAUAGGGUAUUUUUUUGUCAGGUCCAUAACUUUUUUGUAUAUCAAAGGAUUUUGAAAAAACUUGGCACAAAUAUUCACUAUAAUAAGACAAUGUGUCAUGCGCAUCACCUGCAUCCCUACCUCCAAGGUCAGGGUCACAUUUCGAGGUAAAAAAUUAACAUUGUUUUUUUAAAGGGUAUAUAUUGUGUCUAAUGUAGAACUUCUUCAUAGUUCAAGGGAUUUUAAAAUAACUUGGCACAAAUAGUCACAAUAAUAAGACGAUAUGUCAGUUACAACACCUGCACCCCUGCCUCCAAGGUCAAGGUCACACUUAGAGGUAUAAAGGUAACAAAGUCUGUUAUAUGGUAUAUUUUAUGCUUCGUCCAUAACUUCUUCAUAGAUGAAGGGAUUUGGAAAAUACUUGGCACAAGUAGUCACAAUGAUAAGAUGAUAUGUCAUGCACAACACCUGCACCCCUACCUCCAAGGUCAAGGUCACACUAAGAGGUCAAAGCAGGGAUUUUUUCCAGGAUUUUGGGAACAUAACCCAUAGUGCCAUACCCAUGCAACUGGGAAUUUCAGCGAUAUUUUGUUAAAAUUGGGAAAAAAUGCAUGACUGAAAGUUUGCAGUGAUUAAAUGUAUGCAAGCAAUCACUGCCUAGGAUGGCUUCUUCAAACAUUUAAACACUAUUACAGUAAAGAAGCCCUUAUUUUCAAAGAUUUUAGAAUUCUUUAUUCAAUAUUUAUAUUUUUUGUAACUUUCAAUUGGGAAUAUUUUCCUUUGGAUUGGGAAAAUAAUAUACUAUUUUCAAUUGGGAAUAUGUCCCAAUAACGGCUAUAAAAUAAGCCAAAAAAAUCCCUGCAAAGCUUAACAUGAUACAUUUUGAAAUUCAGUAUUUCAUUUUAUUUCUUUAAUAAAUUUAUUGUUGCAUUUGCAGAUCUAGCAUUGAUCAUAAUUUUGGACUGAAAAUCCUUAGAUCCCUGCCUCAAUCUUUUGAAAUAGCACAAUAUUUUGCUUCAUAUAAAACUUCCCUGAGGCGGGGGAUGUUGGUAUCUCUGUUACAAAUUCUUGUUUAUUUUACCAACAAGUGUUCACUUUCAAACUUUUGAUCAUUGUAUUUUUUGUACUACCUUUUGUAUAAUGUUGUAUUUUAUUUAUGUUCUUAUUUUAAGAUUAGCAUGGCCAACUCAUGAAAGUCCAAAUGAUGGUCAACUUUUUUUAUGUUUUUUUUGUUGUUGUUUUUUUUUUUAACAUUAUUUACUUUAUUUUUACAGUGUUCCUCUGAAUCAUACAUUCUGUUUUAGUUAAACAUGCACUUCUUGUUACUUAUUUUCCCAUACUUCAUAUUACAUUGAUCACGGUUUGAUGUGAUGGCUCAUAAAAUUAUAAAAAUAUCAUUUCUUUGUACUUUACCUAGUAAAAUAUGAAAACAGAAAUGCUCUUGUAAGCUAACCUGUUCUAUGUUUAUAUGCCCAUGCAAUUUAAAGAAUGGUGACAGGGCAUUAAGUGUUACCCUGUCUGUCAGUCCGGUCAGUAUGUGAAAUUUCCACUGAAAUUUUAGUUUCCAACCAAUAAGAUUUGUACACCUUUUAAGGAUUCAAUUUAUAACUGGUAUAUUCAACAAUAUAUCAAAACACAGGUCAAUUAUGAUUUCAGUUACAUUCCACAAAAUUUAUACAACAUUAUGCCUUCCUUACCAAAUCAUAUGCAAAAAAUUGAUUUAUAACUGAUAAUAUUUGAAUGCUUUUGAAAUCUAUAAAGAUUUUUCAUAUAGUUCUGGACAAAAUUUAACAGUCUUUAGUGAGUUGGAGUAGUAUGAAAAAUCAGGUGUCUGUAAAUCAAGGUCACUACUUUGGAUCAAAAGUCAAAUAAUACUUUAAAACAUGAGAGUAUAUUUCUAUAUACAUGGCUGGAUUUACAUAACAUUUAUCACAAAUGUUCACUUACGUAUACAUCUUUCUCCCCAAUCUGAAGCUUUAAGGUUCAGUUCUGAAUAAUGGCAACAGGCUUGAUAUAUGCUGCCAGUGGGCUUGUCUAAUUAUGUACAUAUUUUGAUUACCCACUCAAUAUAAGCAUUGUUCUUAACGCAGGCAUUCAAGUCCUAUGGGCACAUUUCUACUUUUGACUAUAUUUUGUUGUAUAAUGUAAGUCUUGUAUGUAAAAAAUCCUUAAAACAGCACCUCCUAUAUUACUGGCCGUUUGCAUUAAAGCUUCUUUCAUUCAGAUUAUUAUAACUUGUGUCACGUCAAUAUGUACCAAUAAUUUAAAGGGACUUAGUCCAUUGAGGUUUAAAAGCCUAAAACAUAACAUUUGAAUUUCUACAGAAAUGAGCCGGGGCACUUGAUACAGAAAUAUAUGCACAGAUAGUGAAGAAAUAUACUUUGAAAUAAAUUGAAAAUCAAUUUUUUUAUGCUUUUCUCAGCCUGAUCUGCGUGAAAUGUGUUUAAAUGCUUUCAUUUUGGGUCACUUUUUUACAAUUUGAAUAAUUAUUCUUGAAAAAGGAAGUGCGCAAAUGAUCUGAAAUUUUUCUCAAAGAUUAGUGGUCAAAACAUACAUCAAGUGGUACAUUAAUCUAGAAAAAUAAAUUUCAGUCUCAUCAUGUCAAAAAACCUCAGUGGAGUUCCUUUUACACAUUUUAUCUGACAAACUAAAUUUCAUUAUCUCCAUAUAUUUAAUCAUUUAUUUUUUAUAUCACAUAUAUUUUUACUUUUAUGCAAGUUUUGACAAUAAAAGUUUAUUUUAAAUCAU